GAUGAAGAACGCAGCGAAAUGCGAUAAGUAAUGUGAAUUGCAGAAUUCAGUGAAUCAUCGAAUCUUUGAACGCACAUUGCGCCCCUUGGUAUUCCGAGGGGCAUGCCUGUUCGAGCGUCAUUAUAACCCCUCAAGCUCAGCUUGGUGUUGGGGCCUGCUGCACUGGCAGCCCUUAAAAUCAGUGGCGGCGCCAUCUGGCUCUAAGCGUAGUAAUUCUUCUCGCUAUGGAGUCCUGGUGGAUGCUUGCCAUCAACCCCCAAUUUUUCUAUGGUUGACCUCGGAUCAGGUAGGGAUACCCGCUGAACUUAAGCAUAUCAAUAAGCGGAGCA
rnacentral:misc_RNA from 1 species